GACGAACGCUGGCGGCGUGCUUAACACAUGCAAGUCGUACGAUGACCCGGCUCUUCGGAGCUGGUGAUUAGUGGCGAACGGGUGAGUAACACGUGGGUGACCUGCCCUGCACUCUGGGAUAAGCCCGGGAAACUGGGUCUAAUACUGGAUACGACCAGUGGCCGCAUGGUCUGCUGGUGGAAAGCCCUUCGGGGUGGUGUGGGAUGGGCCCGCGGCCUAUCAGCUUGUUGGUGGGGUGAUGGCCUACCAAGGCGACGACGGGUAGCCGGCCUGAGAGGGUGUCCGGCCACACUGGGACUGAGACACGGCCCAGACUCCUACGGGAGGCAGCAGUGGGGAAUCUUGCACAAUGGGCGAAAGCCUGAUGCAGCGACGCCGCGUGAGGGAUGACGGCCUUCGGGUUGUAAACCUCUUUCGGCAGGGAACAAGCCUGGGGGUUUUCUUCUGGGUGAGGGUACCUGCGGAAGAAGCACCGGCUAACUACGUG
rnacentral:rRNA from 1 species